GCGGCGUGCGCGAGCACGAGGCGGAGUGGCCUCCCUCAGGCUGAGGCGGCGGCGGGCGCGCGCGCGCGGCGGCGGCGGCAGCGGCGGCGGGUGUGCGAGGCGCGGGCUGUUGUGCUCCGGCGCUCCUCUUUCCCCUCCUCGGCGGGUGGAGGAGGCCGCAGCGGUGCUGGGAGCGCUCCACCUUCUUCUCUCCGCCAACCUGCCCCGGCCCUCUCGCGCUGCGCGGUCUCCCAGACCAGGACUGUCCCGGUCCCGAUAUGGCUCGUGGACAGCAGAAGAUUCAGUCUCAGCAGAAAAAUGCCAAGAAGCAAGCUGGACAAAAGAAGAAACAAGGACAUGACCAAAAGGCUGCUGCCAAAGCUGCCUUAAUAUACACCUGCACUGUCUGCAGGACACAAAUGCCAGACCCUAAGACCUUCAAGCAGCACUUUGAGAGCAAACAUCCUAAGACUCCGCUUCCUCCAGAAUUGGCUGAUGUUCAGGCAUAAAGUUGUUUACAGGCGAAUCUGUGACACCUCUGACUCUUCUGCUGUCUCAGACCCUAGGUAACAAACCUGCAGCUGCUUUUCUAACAAACUGUUGAUCAGCAAAAAUACAGGGGCUACAAAAACACUCAUUUUUAUGCUGUUCCCUUUUGAGCUUCAUGCAAAGACAAUUCUGUGUAAAUGUACAGUUGACUCUGAUUUGGAAAUCUGGAAAUCAGUCCAUCCUUGUUAUAAAAAUUUUUUUACAAUUGUAAUUAUAUUGAUGUUCAUAUUGUGUAAAAUAACUCAUUUAAUAAAGUAGUACUUUGAUUUUACAACAUCACAGGACAAAUGGUUCUAGAAAUUCUGUUCUAAGUUUCCGCAUUAUUUGCCUUAUACAAAUCUUAUGAAUUCACUAGGUAGAAUUGCAAAUGCAGUUCUUAAUCUUUCUCGGCUCAAUGGCAGGUUCGUUAAACUAGACUCAUUCAUUAAAAUUGUGCACACAGUUUUAUUGGCAGCUGAUUUAGGUGAAGAAUGACUGAUCUGCUGCCAUCAUACAUUGCAAUUAUAUGUCAUUGCCCUCCUCUGAUUAUUUCCUGUGUUUGAAGUUGGAAUGUUUAAACGCGAUGUAUGACCUAUUAGUUGCCAGCUAGUAUGCCCUGUAAAUAUCUAAUAAAUUCCUAAAACCAGUUCUGGAUUGUCAGCCCUUCUGAAAGAUUAGGUUUUGAAGAAUAUGCCAUAAUGAAAUGACCAUUAAGCCUAUUGUUUAGUAAAAGAUAUGAUGGAAUGAACAUGGUAAAACCAGUAAAGAUAGACCUUUGAUAAAUUAUAUAGAGUCUUUCAAAAUUCUUCACGUUCUUUAUUUUGGAAUCAAAACAAUUUUUAGAGGAGUUUUUGGAAGGGAUUAACUAUUUGGCCAAUUUUUAUGAUUAAAUUUUUGCAUUAAGAGGAAGAUUGGAACGGCUUGUGGCUAGGUUAAUUCUCAGACUCUCUCCUAAGUCAGUAGUUGAUUUUAGGAGUUUAUUUUGUGCUCGUUCCUGAACUAACAGACUUUGUGUAUGAUGUGACUUCCAUCUGAACUAGAAAAUCUUCACGUUGUUUUGGAUCUAAGGAUGGGGAAGGGGGUUUGUUCAAAUGGAUGAAGUGAAUCUCUCCCAAUUAAUGAAGACUUAAUUUUAGGGUUCUUCUAAUUUGCUUUUGUCAGCUGUUGUACAAAUGGAACUGUUGUAACAUGGAAUAAAUUUUAAAAUUAAUAUAAUAAUAAGAACACUAAAAUAUUUGCUGGUGUAAUUGCUGAAAGCUGCAGAUUGCUCCUGUGGAUUGCAAAGUGCACUCACUGUGUCUGCCCUAACUCGUCACUGUGUUUGUUCUGUGGUUCUGAAUAUUCUGCCCACCGCGUUUGUCUUCACUAUAGUUUAUACCUUACAAUAAGAUACUCCCAAGGAAAAGCUUCAGUGCCGAUAGUUUCCUAGCAAUUCCUGUUUUCAUACCUUUGCUUUAAAAUACAGUUCUUCUGUUUCAUGUAUUUGAUUUCCUAAGUUUCGAAUUUAGUAUCUGUUGUUUUCUAAUAUGUUGAUUACCAGGACAUUAGAAUUUUAUCUUAUUUCUUGAGUGGGUAUUACAGUUCUGGUUAAAUUACAAUUUAAAAGUUAAAAAGUGCUUUGAGUAUAUGUUUAUAUUUAGUAACAAAUCAUUUAAAGGCCAUUCUUGCAUUUUGGUUUAGUUUUUUCAUUUGUUUUACUGACUGUAAUUCAGAAAAAAAGGUUUUUUUGUUCUUGUAUUUAACACUUUUUAUAAGCAGCUGAAGACACCAUAUUUAGUCCUUUAUCUAAGGUGGGGAAGUAGCUGCAUUGAUCUUACCUGAGAUUAAUUCUGAUACUUCAUGUGGAUAUUAUUAGUAAAACCCCCUUUUCAUUGUGCUUAAGUCAAAUCUACUAUAGGAGAAGAUUGCAAGUUUGUUUUAAACAUCCUUGUAAUUUAAUUUGAAGAUUCUAACUGAUCACAGCAAAGUUUGUUAUAAAACUUAUGGUGUCUUCAAAGACUUGAUAAAAUACACUGAGAGAGAAAUGGUCCAUUUGUUUCUGUAUUUCCAUUAGUUGCCAAAAGGAAUGGGGUUAAGUUUAAACUUGUUUCCAUUCUCUUCAUAUGCAUAUACAUCCCCAUGUUUAACUGACACACUGGGGCCUCAGUUGUGUGCUGUACUGUCUUAUUAAAGAAGCUAUUAAAGAAAACUAAA